rnacentral:rRNA from 1 species
GUUUGAUCCUGGCUCAGGAUGAACGCUGGCUGUGUGCCUAAUACAUGCAUGUCGAACGAAGUACUUGUACUUAGUGGCAAAUGGGUGAGUAACACGUACCUAACUUGCCUUUUAGAUUGGGACAACCACGGGAAACUGUGGCUAAUACCAAAUAUGUAUAAUUAACAUAUGUUUUUUAUAUGAAAGGAAGCGAUUGCUUUGCUAAAAGAUAGGGGUGCGCUACAUUAGCUUGUUGGUAGGGUAAAAGCCUACCAAGGCUAUGAUGUAUAGUGGGAUCGAGAGGUUGAACCACCACACUGGGAUUGAGAUACGGCCCAGACUCCUACGGGAGGCAGCAGUAGGGAAUAUUCCACAAUGAGCGAAAGCUUGAUGGAGCGACACAGCGUGUAGGAUGAAUGCCUUAGGGUUGUAAACUACUGUUAUAAGAGAAGAAUAGCUAAAAAAGGAAAUGUUUUUAGUCUGACGGUAUCUUAUCAGAAAGCAGUUGCAAACUAUGUGCCAGCAGCAGCGGUAAUACAUAGACUGCAAGCGUUAUCCGGAAUUAUUGGGCGUAAAGCAUUCGUAGGUUGUUUAUUAAGUUUGGUGUUAAAAACAAAAGCUCAACUUUUGUUUGCAUUAAAUACUAAUAGACUAGAGUUAUAAAGAGGUUAAUGGAACUCCAUAUGAAGCGGUGGAAUGCGUAGAUAUGUGGAAGAACACCAAUGGCGAAGGCAAUUAACUGGAUAUACACUGACACUGAGGGAUGAAAGCGUGGGGAGCAAACAGGAUUAGAUACCCUGGUAGUCCACGCUGUAAACGAUGUUUGUUAAUCGGUGGUGAAAUCACUGAUACAGCUAACGCAAUAAACAAACCGCCUGAGUAGUAUGCUCGCAAGAGUGAAACUUAAAGGAAUUGACGGGGAGCCGCACAAGCGGUGGAGCAUGUGGUUUAAUUCGAAGAUACGCGAAGCACCUUACCAACAUUUGACAUCUUUUGCAAAGGCAUAGAGAUAUGCUGGAGGAUAACAAAAAGACAGGUGGUGCAUGGCCGUCGUCAGCUCGUGCCGUGAGGUGUUGGGUUAAGUCCUAUAACGAGCGCAACCCUUUUCUUUAGUUACUAACAUUUAGUUGAGCACUCUAAAGAUACUGCUUAGGUAACUAGGAGGAAGGAGGGGAUGAGGUAGGUCAUCAUGCCUCUUACAUGUUGGGUUACACACGUGCUACAAUGGCAAAUACAAAGAGAAGCAAAAUCGUGAGGUGGAGCAAAUCUGUAAAAUUUGUCUCAGUUCGGAUUGGAGUCUGCAACUCGACUCCAUGAAGUAGGAAUCGCUAGUAAUCCUAGAUCAUCAAUGCUAGGGUGAAUACGUCCUCGGCUCUUGUACACACCGCCCGUCAAACCAUGGGAGUUGGUAAUACCCAAAGCUAGUUAGUUAACCAUUUAUUUGGAGGCAACUAUCUAAGGUAGGAUCAAUGACUGGGGUUAAGUCGUAACAAGGUAACC